UGGUGCCAGCAGCCGCGGUAAUUCCAGCUCCAAUAGCGUAUAUUAAAGUUGUUGCAGUUAAAAAGCUCGUAGUUGAAUUUCGGGGUUAGUAGGUUGGUCAUGCCUCUGGUAUGUACUGGUCUCACUGAUUCCUCCUUCCUUAUGAACCGUAAUGCCAUUAAUUUGGUGUUGCGGGGAAUUUGGACUGUUACUUUGAAAAAAUUAGAGUGUUUAAAGCAAGCUAACGCUUGAAUACAUUAGCAUGGAAUAAUGAAAUAGGACGUUCGAUCUUAUUUUGUUGGUUUCUAGGAUUGACGUAAUGAUUAAUAGGGAUAGUUGGGGGCAUUAGUAUUCAAUUGUCAGAGGUGAAAUUCUUGGGUUUAUUGAAGACUAACUACUGCGAAAGCAUUUGCCAAGGAUGUUUUCAUUAAUCAAGAACGAAAGUUAGGGGAUCGAAGACGAUCAGAUACCGUCGUAGUCUUAACCAUAAACUAUGCCGACUAGGGA
rnacentral:rRNA from 1 species